ACUACGGUGGAUCACCAUUACUAGAAUGUUACUUAUAUUUAAACGAACAAGAAUCAAAUUCUAUGUUUAAAAAUAUAAGUGAAACUACGUAAUUGAAAGCGAACAAAAACCGACCUGAAAAAUUGUAUGAAAAUUUACUGUUCACUUGAGAGUUAUAUAAAAUAUAACCCGGUCUAAAUAACUAUGAAGGUGAACCUCGCCGCAUACAGACGUCCUUUAGACAGAUCCAUACACAAAUUCGUCGUCAUAAAUAUUUAAUGACAGCAGUGAACAUGUAGUAAGUGGCAUGCCAAGCAUUCGUCGCUGCCAGUGCCGCGCCAACCGUGGUUGGUAGCAUCGCUAAAUAGGCUGUAGAGCCGCGAAAGCCAGUAC